AGUGAACGCUGGCGGUAGGCCUAACACAUGCAAGUCGAACGGCAGCACAGUAAGAGCUUGCUCUUACGGGUGGCGAGUGGCGGACGGGUGAGGAAUACAUCGGAAUCUACUUUUUCGUGGGGGAUAACGUAGGGAAACUUACGCUAAUACCGCAUACGACCUACGGGUGAAAGCAGGGGAUCUUCGGACCUUGCGCGAUUGAAUGAGCCGAUGUCGGAUUAGCUAGUUGGCGGGGUAAAGGCCCACCAAGGCGACGAUCCGUAGCUGGUCUGAGAGGAUGAUCAGCCACACUGGAACUGAGACACGGUCCAGACUCCUACGGGAGGCAGCAGUGGGGAAUAUUGGACAAUGGGGGCAAGCCUGAUCCAGCCAUACCGCGUGGGUGAAGAAGGCCUUCGGGUUGUAAAGCCCUUUUGUUGGGAAAGAAAAGAAGCAGGUUAAUACCCCGCUGUUCUGACGGUACCCAAAGAAUAAGCACCGGCUAACUUCGUG
rnacentral:rRNA from 1 species